rnacentral:rRNA from 1 species
CUGGCUCAGGAUGAACGCUGGCGGCGUGCCUAACACAUGCAAGUCGAACGGGGUGUCUGAUCUUCGGACUGGACACUUAGUGGCGGACGGGUGAGUAACGCGUGGGUAACCUGCCUCAUACAGGGGGAUAGCAGUUGGAAACGACUGAUAAUACCGCAUAAGCGCACAGUACCGCAUGGUACAGUGUGAAAAAACUCCGGUGGUAUGAGAUGGACCCGCGUCUGAUUAGCUUGUUGGCGGGGUAACGGCCCACCAAGGCGACGAUCAGUAGCCGGCCUGAGAGGGUGAACGGCCACAUUGGGACUGAGACACGGCCCAAACUCCUACGGGAGGCAGCAGUGGGGAAUAUUGCACAAUGGGGGAAACCCUGAUGCAAGCGACGCCGCGUGAAGGAUGAAGUAUUUCGGUAUGUAAACUUCUAUCAGCAGGGAAGAUGAUGACGGUACCUGACUAAGAAGCCCCGGCUAACUACGUGCCAGCCGCCGC